AUUAAAGAGACAAGAAACAAAGCAGAGAGCAGGCUCAGGGAUUUUCUUCCCUGACACAAACAGCAGAGCAUUUGGGACAGAGAGCUCACUGACAGUUUGAGAGCUCAGCACUGUUCUGGAAACCUGUCCACAGGCAGUGUCUCUAAUGGCCCCGCUGAACAGCACAAAGCUGCCAGCUAAGUGCCACAAAGGAUUGGUGAGUCUUAUCUCUGCUGAAGCUGUGACUGAUGUCGACCUGGGUCUCUGACCCAGCACAUUUGGUGUAGUGUAGAGAAAUGGCUGGUCACUUGCCACCCUGAGUGGGAAUCAGGCUGCUGUUGAGAAGCCACUGGGGUGCUGUGCUGCCCCAGGGAACAGAACCGUGACAUCAGCUCAAGCAUGAAGUCUUAACAAUGCCAUGCUUUCCCAAAAGGCCACGGUCUGUGGGAAGGAACACAACUGCAAUUCUUGAUGUGAGUUUUUCAUGCCUUUGUGUGUGACUGAUGCAGGAAAAGGCUCAGUUUCUACUACGAAUCACCUGAAAGCGCUCGAGGUAUUGGGGAAGCUUGGACUGUUCUGGUUCCUCAGUGUCUAGCUGCUCCACCAGGUUUGCUGAGCCCAAGCCAUCUUCACCUUCCUGAGGCUGUGCCUCUGAAGCCUGGCCAUCUGGAGACGUCACCACCUUCAGGACUCCACCCAGCACAUCGAGCUGUAGGGCACAGGAGAGUCAGGAGGACAUUUGUUAUAGACUUGACUGUGUGCAGGCCAGAGACAAAGUGUGUGUUCCUUGGUUAUAAUGACUGAGAAAGAGCAUUAAUGAUAUCAGCAUAAUGUGCCAUGGGAGACACUGGGUUGAGGACCUCAGGACAGAAAUGAAAGCUGAGUGGUGAGCCUUGGCGUUUCAGAGUCAAGGCCACACAGAAGAGCAUCUCCAAGGCUGUAGGCUAGGCAGCUAGCCAGCUCCCAGGGCUUCAUGUCUCUCUGCUCCCUCCCUGCCAUUACCGGACGAUAACUGCACUCCUGGGCCUGGUUUUUUAAGUGGUUCUGGGGAUCUGAACUCAGCCACACUGAAAAUGUUUGUGGUUUCUUUUCAUCCUUUUAAACGGAAUAAAUACCAAUUCUGCACACAGAAAGCAGCGGAAGGAGAAAGACAAUGGGGACAGAUGCCUGUGAAGCCUCCAUUUGACUGAGUGGGGUGGAAAAACAUACCACUUCUCUACCCAGCUUGAGGUCUUCAGGGGAGGAGGCCACCCUCUCCAUCACUUGGAGGGCUCUGUCAAGGUAGCCUGGUGUCCACAUCAGAGGCAUGCCGUGGUAUACAGCCCGCACCCCACGCUGCAGUUCCACCUUCCCUGUGGCCAAAAGAGCAACAAAGACUGAUCAGCCAUGCCUCCUCACUGGGUCUGCAGCCAAAGGCUUGGAAGGCCCCAGCCAACAGCAGCCUAGGCAAGGACCCUCACCACGCACACCUUAAAAGGAAGCUUGGUGAACUUGUGUUAUGUGUUUCCUCUGGCUGGAGAUUCACCAGGGCCCAUGAAUCAUUGGGCUGAGGAACUUCGAGAGUCUGACAGAGCUGUUCCUACAGAAGGCCACCCUUAAGACAAAAGAAAAUUAUACUACGUAUGUUUCAAGGCCAAAACCAUGCCCAGAAAAAGCAAUGUCACAGCUUCCUACUCUGAGGACCCUGUGACUCAGCGGUGACUUUCCCUGCCGGGAAAUGUGUGACUUGUUUUGAAAAGUGUCAAACAUACAAUCUAUUUUCUUUAUGAAUAAGAAAAGGAACUGCUUCCCCCCUCACUUUCUUGAGUGUUAUCAGUUCUUACAUCAGCGUCCCGGCUACCUUUGAGGUCACAGAGCCAGGUUGCUCAAACUGCCAUGCAGCUGUGGACAGGCAGCAGGGCCCCGGGAAGCACAGGGCCAUCUGAACUGAUCUUAGCACUGAUGAGCAAAGUCACCUUGAGUGGCUCGGUCUAAGUUUGCCUCUGCUCAUCUUUCCUGGAAGGGAGGAUUUGGGAAGCUGGAAGAGGAUGCCAGCAGACAAAGCUUAUCAGGAGAUGGCUAAUUUUAGAUCUUUAAGGUGCUUGGGCUGGACACGGGUCAUGCUGGGCUGCUGGCCUGAGUCAAGUAAGGCUGUGGAGCAGGGGCAGAGGUGGGGUGUCUGAUGGCAUGGCUGCCUAUCGCAAGGGACCAGGGCCUCUUCUCAUAAGCAACAGUCAAGUACAUUCCUUAGCCUCACCAACUUUCUGAAUGAUCUGUCUAAUACGGCAGUCCUGAACACUAAUCUGAACACCCUUCCACCUGGCUGUACAAACACCUGGGACCAACAGGUGACCGUCCCUGAGAGGUGCUCUCUGACCUUCCUCCCUCACCUGGAAUCAAAGUCAAAGACACAGAUGAUCGUUGGUCGACACUGGGAAAGUAUUGGCUAGCAAUCCUGAUAGAUCACCACAAGUUCACAUAUGCUGUCCCUUCCUCACACUGAUCAAAAAUAAGUUUUCCUACAGUUAACAGAGCCAGUUCUGAGCUGGUUGGUGGUGACAGGUCUAAUGACAUCCCUUGACUAUCCAUAACUGGAGUGUUAUUUUAUUGACUAUACUUGGGAGUUAUAACUGGAUGUUCACUAGUAAAUUUAAAUGAAGCUUUAAUUCUAUUAUGAGACAAAAGGCUGUGCCACAUCUUUCCACAAAGAACAGUAUGAACAAGGCUCACUUAGCUUACCGAGAAGUGCAUAGCCAUACAGCUGGGAACUCAGGCCCACUGUGUUCCUUUGUUUCAGGCCAGAAAGCAAGAGGGACGCCCCAAAGUCUCUUUCUUCUUCCCACUGCAACAGAAUACAGCAGAUCACUGUCUAUUAAACGUGGAUACUUCAUGCUAAAUGUGAUUUUUUAAAAAUAUGACAGCCAACAGCAUGUAUUAAGCUUAUGAAAAUAACAAACUGUGUAGAAGUUAUCCCGAUUCUAUAAAUAAAAGGUAUUCAUAUUUUAAAAAAAUCAGAACAGAAAUGCCCUCUAUAUAACUAAGGACUCCUGGGUGGUGAGAUUUCAUUAAGUGGUUUUGGUUUUGUGCUUCUCAUGAUUUUUUAUAUUUUGUGCUUCUCAUGAUUUUUUAUAUUUUGGUAAUGAGCCAGAGCCUUUUACAGUCAGAAAAGAGAAGAGAAUAGAGUACUCUGGACCCACACUGACUUGAGAGCGUCAAAGAGGCCCCCAGGCUGCCAGCUUCACAUUUACCCUGCCCCAGAGGAGAAAGAAUGCUAACAGCACAGCAGAGAGAAGACUUCCUCACACUGUUAAAGUAAGCACCACCAUUAAGUUGCUUUUAGAUAGAUUUGUGCCUCUUAAAGGCAAACCAGGCAAUCAGAAACACUUAGUCACUGUGUCUUUCAACCUAGGGUGUAAAAUUGUAUGUCAAUAAAAUUGAAGCCUUUUGAGGAGACAUGAAAAAAAAAAAAAAAAAAGGGCAAAGCCACAGGACUCGCUGGGCCUGCCACACACCAGUAACAAAUGUGACUGGGGCAGUCCUUGAACACUGAGCUCAGAGCUCAGAGGAGGAAGUCUGAAAAGAACACAGACAUCAGGAGCUGUAAUUCUCUAAUGCCCCACACAAGGCAAGAGCUAUAGCCCUUUCCCUCAUGGUCUCUGCCCUAAGAAGCUAGGGAUGGUCUGCAGCCGCAACUGCUGCCAGGGAGCGAGGGUCCGUGCAGCAUUAAAAGCACAGAUCUGGUCAUGCUUUGUGCAGCACAGGCCCCAGUUCUUGGGAUUUUCCUACAUCUUGGAAAAUAGUGGAUCCUGGAAAAGGACUCCAUGUGGGCUUCCACAGCACGGAGGAGGAGGAACUUCUAAUUAAGGACCUGGCCGCUUUUCCAACGAAAACCAUUCUAGCUUUUGUGUAUGUGCUAGAAAGCAAACCCGGAGCUUUAUGCCUGCUAAUGUGCCAAUCAGUAAACUACAACUGAAAAAAAGCCGACAGUCAAAUCUAGGGAAGUUCACGUCUCCCACCAAUAACCUGAAAAGUGGGUCUGGUACAGAAUAAAUAAGAAGUCUGACUU
rnacentral:lncRNA from 1 species